GAUUCAAGAUAUGCCAGACGCACGGCAACGUUAGCGCCGAAACGGAAACCAAAGGCCGCGACGCGAGUGUGAUCCACCCACGGUACGUUAGGCAGCGCCUUUAAGACGUGCUGAUGCAACAGGCUGGAGUCCUGGGUGAGCUUCCAUUUUGAAGAAAAGCCCACCGAUG
rnacentral:misc_RNA from 1 species